CGGAAGUAGCUCAGUUGGUAGAGCGCAACCUUGCCAAGGUUGAGGUCGCGGGUUCGAGCCCCGUCUUCCG
rnacentral:tRNA from 1 species